AAAUUUAGAGAUUAAUUUUUGGGGUUAAAUCUCUAUGGUAUGUGAUAUAAAUAUUUGAUGAUGCAAUAUUAAAAAUAUAUUUUUCUCCCAUUAAUCACAUUUCUUCGAUAUAUAUAAUAACAGAUAUUUCAAUAUUGGAAAACAAGAAAUAUAUUAGAUUUUCUCAUAUUCGCAAUAUUAAUUAUAUAAUUUAUAUAAUUCUCUACUUUUUUUGACAAAUUUAAUAAAAAAUUUAUUCAUAAGCUCUAAAAGAUAUGAAUAAUACAAUAAAAUCAAAUAAUCUUAUUUUAAUACAAUCCAUAUUAAUUAAUAUAAAACAUUUAUAUUAAUAUUGAUAUUAUUGAAUCGUCCGACAAAAUAGAAAAGUUAAUAUGGCAUUUGUUAAAAUGUAAUUAAAUUGAAUUAAUAUAAUAUAAUCCAAAAAUGUAAUAUCGAUUAUAAGUAAUUCAUUUGUCUAUAAUGUUUACACUAAUAUUUCUUUUAUUAUUUAAUAUUAUUGUUCACAUCUGUUUUGAUGACAAUUACCUUUCUUCUCGAUAAUAAUAAUGAUUUUGAAAUAUGCUGUAAAAAAUAAAAUUUUGAGCAACUUUUUUGUUUAUACAUAAUCACAUAAUCGCAUUUAAUUUUUUAUAAGAUAAUUUUUAGUACUAUAUCAAUGAAUUCUUCUGCCUAUGUUCUAUGAAAAUGUAUAUAUUAGCAUACGAUUGUCAUUUAUGAAGUAUUUAUAUAAUUCAUAAUAAGUGAACUAAUAAUGUGAUCGUAUUUAGUAUCUAUCCAUAUUCAAGCUAUUCACAUUCGCGAAAUGUAAAAAUAUAAUAUAAAAUAAAAUAAGCGAUUGGAAUUAUAAUGAUAGCGAUAUCAGCCUCAUUUAGUAAAUAUAUAUUAGUUUUAUUGUUAUAUAUGUCACAAAGGAAAUUUUAGAAAAGAUCUUGUUCAAAUCUAUAAGAAAAUAGAAUUUCGAUAAAUAUACAUACACACACACACACAUACACACACACACAUAUAUUAAUUGCCGAUUGCUCUAAUGUGUUUAUACAGAGUGUUAAUGCAUUCGUGGAUACCUUUGAAUAGUCAACUCUAAUAAUUAACUUAAUAAUUAACUUAAAUAAACUUAAAAGUUGGUACACAAAAAUAUCGGUUGAAGCUUACUUAUUAAAUUAUAUGCAAUUGAAGUUUGUCUUGUUAGAAGAAAAAAGGCAAAAUAAAGUAUAAUGAAGACAAUUUCAAUCACUUAUAAUUCAAUAAAUAAGUUAAUUAAUAAACCUUAAUAUUUUUCUUUACCAACUUUUGCAUUCAUUUUGACCUUUAGAAUUGAUCUUUCAAAGAUAUAUAUUCUUAUAAAUAUAUCAAUAGCUUAUAUAAAUAAUAAAAUCUGUAUAAACACGUAAUUGACAGUCAUAUACUGAUAUGAUAUAAAUUGUCGUAAACGUAUGUUUAUAAAUAGAAUUCAAUAAUAUAGUACUAAAUGAUUUUUUGCAAAUAAUUCGAUUAUGUAUAAAGAAAAAAGUCUAAAAUGAUAUCAUUCAUAUUUCAAACUUAUUAAAAUCGAAGAAAUUAAUUUGUAAAUUGAUUUUUAUUCAAUCUCUAUAUUUGUAAUAUUAUUUGCAUAAAUUUAAAGAUUUUGAAAUAAUUUAAUAAAUUACUAACAAAAAUAUUCGAAAAAUAUUUAUAGAUAAUCCUAAUAUAGAUUGAAUUUGAUACCAGAAAGAUUUAACCAUCUAACAGAAAGUUGUGCUUAUUUGAUUGUUUCACCAAAUUAUUUUUUAAUAAACUUUUUAUAAAUUUCUUAAGUAUUCGACUAUUCAUCUAGUGCCGAUCAAUCGAUGUCCUUAUACAAAACGCAAUCGAUCCGAAGGUGUGAAUGAUCAUCGAUGACGCAAAACGCAACGAUGCCUGUGGAACGAUCCUUAAAGAAACAAAAUCAAGUAUAUACAUACUUUUCUUCACCGUGAUUCAGCACACGUAAGCAAAGCGUUUGCUUAGUGAAAUAUCUUAAAUAUGUUACUAUCAAAAGAUACAAUGAAAAUAUAUUACGUAGUCAAUGUUAUUAACGCAAUGGAGCAAAGUGUGGGAGAGAAAUUGAAUGUAAGGGGAAAAAAGUGUGAACGAUAAAAUGAUGAAAAAUGUAUGAAUACGAUGAAAAACGUGAAAUGCAGAUCGUAUUGAAAUAUAAUUUACGCUUAAAAUGAUUACAUUCUUCUCAUUUUUUUCGUCUACACAAGCUGCAAACCGCGACCAGGAAUGUUUUUUUUUUGUACAAAGGAUAAACGUGCAUUUGUUUCCUUAACGCAGACCGAUCAAUCGAUCGAUUUCUACCAUCGAUAUUAACGUUUCGAAACGUUUCAGAAAUACGAUUAAUACGCAUCGUUCUUAUGAAUUAAAAACAGGAAAAUUUAACAUUUCUCCCUUCGUAAGCGAUUUAUCGAGCUUCUUUGGGUAAAACUUCCGGGUCCAUUUCAUGUAUCGCAGUCGUAAAUUUUACUUUGGUUAUCGAAAAUCGUAUGUGUAUACAUGUGGAUCGUGAUUUUUCGAUACCGAUUUUGCGCUUAAUGUUAUGUGUCGAUUGAGUCACGCUUUCUGUUGACAAGAAUAAUCUCGAUGCAGAAAGCGUGAAUAUGUUAAGAAGAGAGAACGAAAGUAUGCGUGUGCUUUGUGAGAGUGAGAGUAUGGCUUUCUCAUUGAGACAUGGAGUCCAUUUUCUUUCCUUCAUGCGAGAAUAUCCUUUAUUUUACAAAGAAAUGUUACCGCAACAGGUCUUAAGACCACCGAUUGUAACUCCUUUAAUACUUUGUAUCCCAUUAUAGUGUUAUUUCUUUUCUUCCUUUUCUUCUUCUUUUUCUUUUGUUUCUUCUAUUUCUGUUUUCUUUAUCUUCUUUUUUGUUUUUCUUUAUACGUGAGUAAGCACAAACUGUUUGAAAAAAUUGUAUAAGAUAUGUAGACACAUACUUGAAGAACUUGAGUUAUAUAUUUAACAUGAAUACUAUUUAAUAUAUGAUUCAAGCUUAUAAUAAACGGGUUGUAUAGAAA